GGGGGGGUAAGAGCAGGUUUUAGGGAAGAAACGCCUGUAGCGAGUAAUCAGAAGAGAAGGGUGAAAGCCAAGAGCCUUUGACUUCCCCAGUGCACUUAAUUUUCUUGUUCUCCUCUCUUUAAGGACAGGGAAAAUCAUUGACUUGGGUCCAGCAAUGCCAAAUGUGUUGGGGUGUGAGCAGCCAAAGGCAACAGGCUCCAGCCCCACCGACUGGCGCUGGGGGCACCUGGUGCUGCCCGUGGGGUGGGGCUGGUCCUUGCGUGCUGGGAAGGGUGGAGAGGAAGGGGCAAAGGGCUGGGUGAGCGUGGGGUCCCUGAGCUGUGGGGUUGGGCUGUGCUGAGUGGGGCAGGUGGGUCCUCGUUGGUGAGCCCGAGCCUUGGCUUGGGGGUUCAGGAGCCCGGGGGGGCCAAGCUGGGGGGUGUUUGCAGCUCUGCCAGGGCUGGAGCUGACACAGUGCUGGGGGAGAGCCUGGAGCUGGGCUGGGCCGGGGGACAGACGCAGGGGAGCUGGGGGAGGGUUUGGGACUCCCUGGGGGGAAAGGAGGGAUGGAUGGGCUGGAUGGAGCCACAGGCCUGUGCUCCUGGGAACACACUUGUCCAGGGUGCUGGGAUCCGGGUCAAACUCCAGUUCCCCUCCUGUCCAGGGAUGCAGGGUCUGAGGGAUUGGAUUUCCCUGGGGGUUUGCAGGAGACCAGGAAUGAGAGGAAACGCAGUGCCAGAGCAGGCUGUGUUUGCCUCUGAGGACAGAGAGCCUGUGGGCUGAGGAAGCAGCAAAUAUAUCCUGAUAAGCCCUGAAUGUGCCAGGAGGUUUCAGCCGGGAGGAAAGGAGCUGUGGAAGAAAAGCAGCCUAAAAAUAGCCAGUGGGGAUCAUCAGGUUUUCCAGCCAAGAAGAACAAGGAGAGAGAUGAGGGAAUGGGGUUCCAAUUCCUAAUGAUUUGGUGGGUGCAGGAAUGAUUUGUGUGUGUUUUCCAGUCCCUUUGGAUUCCUGAGAUGAUUUUAAAAUGAUGGCUUUAGCAAUCAACUAAAUCGGAGAUGUUGUUUUUGAGAGGAAAUGAUGCCAAAUCAAUGCAGAGUUUUGGGUCAGUUUUGGGGAUGAUUUGGGUCAGUUUUGGGUCAGCUUUUGGGAUGAUUGGGGUCAGUUUUGGGUCAGCUUUUGGGAUGAUUGGGGUCAGGUUUUGGGGUCAGUUUUGGGUCAGCUUUUGGGGUGAUUUGGGUCGGUUUUGGGUCAAUUUUUGGGGAGCACUGGGUGUUACUGGGGGCUGUUGGGGAGCACUGGGUGUUUACUGGGGAGCACUGGGUGUUACUGGGGGCUGUUGGGGAGCACUGGGUGUUUACUGGGGAGCACUGGGUGUUACUGGGGGUUGUUGGGGAGCACUGGGUGUUACUGGGUGUUUACUGGGGAGCACUGGGUGUUACUGGGGGUUGUUGGGGAGCACUGGGUGUUACUGGGUGUUUACUGGGGAGCACUGGGUGUUACUGGGGGUUGUUGGGGAGCACUGGGUGUUACUGGGGAGCACUGGGAGAGAAGAUGAAAAAUAAAGAGAAUAAAAAAUCAACGAAAUAAAAAAGGAAAUAUAAAAAACAAAAGAAAAUUAAAAAGAAAAGGCAAAAAAAACUAAAAAGGAAAUAAAAUGAAAAUGAAAUAAAAAAGAAAAAAAAAAAAAAAAAAAAAAGAACCCCCUUCUUGGGCACCCCGUUUCCUCUCCUCCCCCCCCCCCCCGAACCGUAAAUUGCGGGGUCAUCACCCCUAAAAUGUGAGAAGGGGACCCGAAAAUGUGGGUGGGGGAACCCCAGGGAGCCGAAAAAGCGUAGGGGGAGCCGCAGUAAGAAAGCGAAGCCGGGCGGUCGGGCGGCGGGGUGGGGGGGAAGCCAAGGUGGCGACGUCGGCGCAUGCGCAGUCGUUGGCAAGACGCCGGCGAUCACGUGGUAAGUAAGGGCAGCCAGGAGCGGGACCGGCGACGCAUGCGCAGUGGCUCUCGUGCCGGUGCAGCGCUCCCUGCUCGAGUUAAGGGCCGGUUCCGGCGGCAGGGCGGGACUCGCGGUCUCCCGUCUCUCCCGGGGUGUGUGUGGGGGGGAAUAACAUGAAGAUUUUUUGGGGUGAAAGCGCAGAAAUUAGCGAGGAGGGACGCUAAUUUGGGUAAACUCGGUCACCGGAAGUAGAGCGCAACCGGAAGUCCUCCAGGCCCCGGCCCGGAAGUCCGCCAAGCCCACAGUAAAGAUGGCGCCGCCAGGACCGGAACGACCACACUAAAGAUGGCGGCCCCGGCCCGGAAGUUCGCCCCGACGCCACACUCAAGAUGGCGCCGCCAGGACCGGAACUUAGCCGAGGCCACACUAAAGAAGGCGGCGAGAGGCCCCCUCGCCUCAGA